AAAUGAAAAUCAUACCAGGCCCCAGAAUGUCGAAGACUAAGGCCAAUGACCAAUGACCAGAGUUUGACACGUGACGGAGUGAGCAGAGGGAGCACUGAGGCAAGCUAAACAGCAUACAGAGGCGACUUUCACAAUAAGAUAACAGAGUAAGAAACGCAAUUGACAAUGGGAACCCAUGGAUCUAACCUCAGCUUCUUACUCCCAGUGCUAGAGAUGAAACUAGGGCCUUACAAGUAAGCGGUAGGUAAGUAAGCAAGCUACAUUCCUAGUGUUCUUAAUCUUUUAAAAUAUUUACUAGCAGUUCAUAUUUCCU
rnacentral:lncRNA from 1 species